rnacentral:rRNA from 1 species
AGUCGAUGGGAAACGGGUUAAUAUUCCCGUACUUCUUACAAUUGCGAUGGGGGGACGGAGAAGGCUAGGUGGGCCUGGCGACGGUUGUCCAGGUUCAAGUGCGUAGGCUGAAGAGUUAGGUAAAUCCGGCUCCUCGAUAGGCUGAGACACGACGUCGAGCUACUACGGUAGUGAAGUCAUUGAUGCCAUGCUUCCAGGAAAAGCCUCUAAGCUUCAGAUUGUAAGGAAUCGUACCCCAAACCGACACAG